ensembl:lncRNA
CUCUCUCCUCUUUGUCCAUCCUUCCCAGACGCUUCCUCCACACACUCGCACGUACCCUCCCAACACACACACACACACGCGUGCGCACCUUCUCUCGCUCUCAAGCUUCCCGCCCGUGUGUGCGUCCGCUCGUGUUUUCAUCUGGGUGCUCCCACGGCAGGAACAGCGAACGACCAUCUCGGCAAAGGUGUUACCGCGGCGACAGCAAACAGAGCCACGAGAAAAGACGAGACAAAUCCUCCUCACAGAGCUGGAAUUGUCUUCGAAGGAGUGGGGGAGUCCUCUUGUCCAUCUCGGUCGGUGUUUUCGGACGGUCGACGCGCGUUCAGCCCGGUAUCAACUCG